AUAGAGCUGACCAAUGAAAUUUGCUCUCUCAUCCUCCGUCGAUCUUUUUCCACCAUAUUUUCCUCGUGCUCUGCACAGAGAAGUAUUCCAAAUUUACCAACAAUGGCUGAACCAGAGAGUAAACCACCAGCUGAAGGGGAAGAGGAAGUUGAGGAGGUUGAGUCCGGAGAAGAACAGGCAGAUGAUGAUGCCCAGACUGCAAACGCCCUGUCAACCAUGAUGCAGAACCCCCAUGUCCUAGCAGCCAUUCAGGACAAGCUGGGCAGCAUCGUUGGCACACCAUCAGGCUACAUACAGAGUUUGCCGAAGGUGGUGAAGCGGCGUCUGAAGGCUCUAAAGAAACUACAGUUUGAUGUAGUCAAGCUGGAGUCUGAGUUCUACAAGGAAGUUCAUUCUCUUGAGUGUAAAUACGCAUCCAAAUAUGUGUCUCUAUUUGACAAGAGAAAAGACAUUUUAAAUGGGAUAACAGAGCCUACAGAAGAUGAGUGUGAUUGGCCGAGUGAGGAUGAGAAAGAUGACGAGGAACUGGCUGAGGAUAUGAAGAAUAAGGCGAAGGUUGAAGACGAGAAGAAGGAAGAAGACAAGAAGGAGGAAGAGAGUGAUGCAAAGGGAGUCCCUCACUUUUGGUUAACAGUUUUCAAGAAUGUAGAUAUGUUGUCAGAAAUGGUCCAGGAUCAGGAUGAACCUAUACUCCAACAUCUUCAAGAUAUAAAAGUCAAGUUCUCUGAAUCAGAACCUAUGGGAUUUACUUUGGAAUUUUACUUUGAAGCAAAUGAGUAUUUCACAGAGACACUGCUAACAAAGCAGUACACAAUGAGGUUCGAGCCAGACACGCAAGACCCACUUGCGUAUGAAGGCCCCGAAAUAAUCAAAUGCCAGGGUUGCAACAUCAGCUGGAACAAAGGCAAGAAUGUGACUGUGAAAGUGGUGAAGAAGAAGCAGAAACACAAGGGCAGAGGCACGACUCGCACAGUCACCAAAACUGUACAGAAUGAUUCCUUCUUCAAUUUCUUCAACCCCCCAUCAGUACCAGAGGGUGAAGAAGCUGACAUGGAUGAAGACUUGGAGGCCUUAUUAGCGGCAGAUUUUGAAAUCGGACAUUUUAUUCAGGAGAGGAUAGUACCCAGGGCCGUGUUGUAUUUUACUGGAGAAGCUUUAGAAAAUGAUGAGUAUGAGGAAGAGAAUGAGGAAGAGCAUGACGAGGAAGGCGAUUACAAUGAAGAUGACGACCCAGAUUUCAACCCACAGGGCACUGGGAAAAAAAGUGGAAGAAAAUAGAGCGUUUUUAGCUUCUGGGAUCGGAAUAAUCCCAUACCCAUACCGAAAUAGGGUGAAGGAGGCAAACCGGCUGAGUGUAAGCAGCAAUAACCAGGUCAUCAUGGACGUAUCUACAACAACAUUUCUCUGAAGCACAUGUGUCUUCUGCUGGUCCAACAUUUCAGUCAAAUUUACCUCAAGUUCUGUGAAUAUCAAGCUUUUCUAGAACCCUUGUGUGGCUUUUGCAGUUUUUCAACUAUUUAUGGCUAGAUGAACAGAGGGUGAUGAUGAAAGCUAAUACCAUAUGUAAAGGUGAUCCUGAUUGGAAAAGAAUUGUAGGAAUAAAUAUAUGUCUUAAUUUAUCCGAUUUAUUGAUAAUAUGCAACUAGUAAGUCCUCCCGUGCCAGUAUUCUGAGUUUGUAGGCUUACAGCAAAAACGUGAUGUUCACAAGACACAUUUAGGUUGCUUUGACUUGAAAACGUGGGAUCCUAGUCUGGAUGGAAGAGUCCACUUCAGACAGAACAUGCCUGAAUACUGGUUGCCUCACUGAACACCCCUUGUUCAAAAUGGAAUGGACCUUGUGCAUGCUUCGAGUUUCAGUCUGGACAUUUCCGGAGGUGCAUUGAAUGUGUGCAUACUAUAUCACGGACAACAUAUAUUUUGGAAUCUUCCACUGUAGAUGGACUUUUCGAAAGGAUUGACUACUUUACUGCUCAUUAAAGGACCAGUGUCGAUGUCGACUGGUUUCCAUGGUUACGCUGUCGGUUGUGUCACAGCUUUUGCAUUUAACUGUUUCUUUUAUCAUUCAUAACACCUCUGUUGAUCUUCUGUGUUUGGACAUUUCUGAAAUUCUGGUUUAGAAUUCAUGUUAAUUGCUCAGAAGUCCCAAAUCUCUUAUCCCGUCAAAGUUGAAAUUUUGAUGUCCUAGUUACUGUUUGGUGUUAAAUGUUGGCAAAGUGAGUUGCUAAUUGUGCCAGGUCCAGUCAUCUAGCUUGAACUGCUACUGGUUUAGACCUGUUAAUGACUUGGGACUCAGCAGUUCAAGAUGCUGCGAAGACUCUCUGGAACUUCAGCCUGUACUUAAAGACUUCAGCAAUUUUUUGUGAAUUCUAUACUUCUAAUACAGCUUUUUCAUGUCGCAGUUUUUAAUGUGAAAAUGAAAUAAACGCCUCUUAUUUUCACAAGUAUUUAGUAUUUACUUGAGAGCAUAUUUUUCUAACGAAUGAAACGAUGAAUGCAAGGUAAAGGUGUUGAAAUUUCAGGAUUGUUUUGAUCUUUCAUUUGAGAUGCUGGCAAUCCGAGAAUGAUAUUAAUUUAACAGACUUCUUCGAAUCAUCGAAGGAGUUAUUGUUUUAAAGUCAGCAUGUGAUCUGUCAUAAGUCAACGCAGUUAUUAAUGUCGGUGAAAUGCAGGAAGACAGAGCAUGAUCAGUAGUUCCUUCCUACUUUUUGAAUGGCUACUCUGGAAUGGAAGCGUUGGGAUUUUGAAUUAUGUCAAACCAUGGUGAAGUGAAAUGAUGUAAAUAAAAUCCUGCUAUUCCACCUUAGUCAAUCCACAAUUUAACCCAACAAGCCUUCCAUGCCAAAAACCAUGGCUGGCUGCUUAAGAAAAUUCCCGUCAUAUUCGUCUCUAUGAGCCAUUGAACUUGACUGGGGUAGUGAGCUCGUUCAAUCCCUUAAUGAUCAAUUUUGUGGAUGAAAAUAUCUGGAUUUGAAUACCCUUAUAUGGAGCUCAGACAUUUUUAGCACAUUUGAUUUUGUAAUAUCACUACACCCAAAACCAAACUCUUCCUUAUGAAAUAUGAAAAUUGGUGAUUCCUCUGAGGUAGCUUCAAAACAGCUGUCAGAUUAUCUACUAUUGUCAAGGACAAAACGUGGACCAUUGUAUUUUCUUCUUUCAAAGAGAUAAACAUUCUAUGCAUGGAAUUUCUGGGGCAGAAUGAAGGAAUGAUGUUCUGUGUCUGUCAUACGUCAGAGAUGGAUAAGCUGUCGCAGGAUCAUGUCAUAAAUUUUCUUUGUAUUUAAUGAUGUUGGUGAAGUUAUUAAUCAUAUUUGUGCAUUAAAUUGUGGGCAUUUUUUCAUGUUGUGUGUUUGUACAGCUUUGUCAAACUUCAUGAUUUUAUUAUUUAAAUUAUUCACACAGCUCCACACAUUCUGAAUCAAGCCUUAAAAUUUAGAGAAUCUUCUUUUACUGAAAAACAGUCCAGAAAAUAUAUUUUUCUUUUACUGGAAGAGGGAAUCUACUGUUAAAUUUUGUAUUCUGUUUUCCUUGAAGCAUUUUGUUUGCCGAGUUUGUAAACGUUAAAUACAAGGUGUAAGAUGAUAGUGUUCAGUGAGGUUAUGUCAUGAUGGGUGGAAUAUAUUUUGAAAAAAUAUAAAAUCUUUGUUUUUGUUGUGUGAUGUUAAAAGAGUUCAUCUCAUAACAACUUUGGUUAUAUUUUUGCAUCUCCCUGAUGAAGUCCAGUAUUUAAUGUCUUGUUGAAAACCACAUUUUCUGUGAUAUGAUAAUUGUAACUAUUUUAAGCAGCAGGCACCCAAACUAACAUGACAUCCAUUUGUCAUAUGCAUUCUCAAAUUUGGGCCCCUAUUUUUGAACAACACCACAGGGAUAAAGCUGCUAGCAAAUUAUGCAUGAUUUUUUGUAGUCUAUACAAAUCCAUAAUUAUUUGUCGUAAAUUGAUUUUAUGUAGUUUUCAUUCUGGUUCACAUAAAGUUAUUUCUGUAUAGUUUAUUUUAGUGUGGAUGUUUUAUAUAAAAAAGGAAAACAAACCUAUCUUUGAAACUUAAGCUGGUUUUGUCAGGAAAGAUUGUCAGAACUUGUUUAAGUUUCCACAUUCUGUUAUGUUAAGCUUAUCCCAUUGUGACCUGGUAUUCAACUGACUUUUAUUGCCUAAAAGCUGAUAAACUUGUCUAACUGUA